UUAAGGAUAUAACACUGGAAAACCAGACAGCAAUACAGGGAGAUGUCAACAAUCUUAAAUGGCCUCAUAAGUUUAGGUUUCUAGCAUAUAACAACCUGCUGCCCAAGAAAGACAUGUAACAUAUGAACUGCUGAAGGUUUCCUCUUUAUCAAUGCUUGUUUCAAUUAAGUCUGAAGUAAGUUUAUUGUCAUACAGUCAUCAUGAAAUGAUAGUUCUCUGUUGAAGAUGGGUUCUUAGGUUAGGUGAAAGUUUAAACAAAACUAUGUAGGCCAUGCUUUUAUAUUGAAGCAAGCUUACUUGGAUGGCCAAUGGUUUCGUGUAUUUUAUGAGCGAUAUAAAAGCAUUCGGUUUGAAGAACUUCUACCGACAAGCAUA